rnacentral:rRNA from 2 species
UACAGAGGUCUCAAGCGUUGUUCGGAAUCACUGGGCGUAAAGGGUGCGUAGGUGGCGUGGUAAGUCAGAUGUGAAAGCCCAGGGCUCAACCCUGGAACUGCAUCCGAUACUGCCAUGCUAGAGAACUGAAGAGGAGUGUAGAAUUCUCGGUGUAGCAGUGAAAUGCGUAGAUAUCGAGAGGAAUACCAACGGCGAAGGCAGCACUCUGGGCAGUUUCUGACACUGAGGCACGAAGGCUAGGGGAGCAAACGGG